UAGACCUGUUCAAAACUCAUUAAAAAUCAUUUUCUUUGCCUCAACUGCAAUCAAGAAUUUGUCUGAAGAUAUUGUUGAAAUUCCAGUAAACGGUUUUGAAUUUAUUAAUCCAGAUGUCAUUGACUCAAGGGUGAACAACAACAUUGUCUUAUCAGAUGUUGUUGGUUGUUUAUAUGGAAUUGGUGAUAUCGAGAGUGUUGGUUCAAAAUGGAAGAAGAGGGAUAUCCACAUUCUUACUGAUUAUUUGGCUAAAGCAAAAAUUACCUUAUGGGAAGAAUUUGGGGAGAAGUUUUGUCCUUAUUUGUAUAACAAUGAUGCUGGCCCAUAUAUAGUGAUAGUGACUUCUACAACAGUGAA